ensembl:lncRNA
AGUGGGGGGACAUCCAAGGAUGCACUUUAAUGGUCAGAGUGUUUUUGUUUUAAAAAAUGUAUCCCAAAAGGGUGUUGUUGGGCCAGAAUGUUUUAGUGUGAUGAGUUCCCAGCUCAAUCAGCCAUACCCAUUGCCUCUCUGAAGGGGCCUUGGCAGAUCAAAAUGUUGUUUACACCCAAACCCUUGUAUUUGUAUCCACAUACUUAUCUGAAGCACUUUUAAACUCUAGUGUGAAGUUCCAUGAAAUACAACCUUGAUCAAUUGACUUUGUUUUAAUGGCUGGGUGGGUGUGGCAGUAGUAGAGAGGGACUCCUUAACAUGACCCUGUCAUAAAAGUGUUAUUUUAGAGGAUUCGGGGCUCACUUUAUAACCCCAUGGAAAACCAAACAAUAAUACUGAUUACACAUUCCUCUUUCAUCUUAGUCAAGACAGAAAUAGUUUGUUCUGGGAAUGCAGGUUUGAAUAGCAUGCAGUUCCCCCUCUCUUUUUCGAACUGCUGUUGCUUUACUAAUUGUUGUGAAUAUGGAAGUUGCCUAGUGUUGUUUAGGCAAGUAAGUUUGAGCCAGGGUCAGUUAAUCAGCCCCUUUAGGAUCCAGGAGAGGAAUGCUCUUGCUUAAGAUGACCUCAGGUCCACUCCAUCAGUUAGGGUUUGAUGAUGGAACAUUGAUUAUGGGAAUUAUUGACAGAAACCUCAGACAGUAGCAUAAUGAGGGAGAGGUUAGAGAGACAUUAGUUAUACCAGACAAGUCCUCUAUGUACUGUCUUUGUUCCACUGUGUUAUCUGGUGGCCAUGGAAAGCACUGCCCUAUUGCAAAAUGAUGCUGGAUAUGUUGCUAUGGGUGUCUAGCCAGUUGAACUCUUUGUACUCAUCUAAUAUUAAGGACCUUAAACUGAGGUAAGGUGUGCAUACAGAAAACACUACCAUGGCAACGAACUACAGUACAGUAAUAACAGUAUAGUAUAUCCUAUAGAGAUGUAUGGACUCAUGCCCAGGAAUGUCAACAAAGCAUAGAGUAACUAGCUCCAGUGUUCUAUGGGAUUUAUGUUGGUGUUUAACUGUCCUCUCUCUUGUUGAAAAAAAAAACAAGUAGUCAAGGUAAAGUAGUUUAAUGAAUACUCCUGGUAUAUUAUGUAUUCUUCUACCAAUAUAAGAUAAAAAGCAUUGCCACAGGCAGGCGCCUUUUGGGGUUGACUGAGGAUUGGCCAGGAGGCAUGGCAGUAAUCUGUCAGCCAUGUUGGAUUGUUCUCAAGCUGCCUGCUCAGAACAGAUCAGUCAAAACUAUUGGUUGUAUUGAGGGUCAACUCUACUCAAUACUUGGGAUCACUCACUGGUACUUAUCCUCUGUGUUUUCAUGCUGUGGGAGGCAGUUGUCUCUGUGAUCAAUAUACUAACGCUGCAGUGACUCCUCACCCAGUACAGUAUAUUAUUACCACAUACACAACAGAUCAGAUGGGAGAUGGAUAGGGAAAACAAAUUGUCCCAUUAGAAUGUGACUUUGGCUCAGAGGAUUAAUGUGGCUGCAUCACAUAAUUUCUGACACAACUUUGACAGAUCUGCAGUUCAUUGAAGAAAAAAAGGCAAGAGCAUACUAUAGUAAAAUGGUUGUUUAUUUGUAUGUUAGGGGGUCUAACACUUUGCCCUUUAGUCAAUGGUAGAACAUUUUUUUUAGUGUGCAUUUCAAUGAUUUGAAAGUAAAAAUUUUACAAUUUUGUGAAUGGUUUAAGGCCACUUCAGUUUAGUGCAUGAUUUAACAACACACCAAGGGAGAAGGUUCAACAACUCAUUAUUUUAAAACAUGAAAGUGUGACAACAAAAUAAUACAAAAGUGAAAUAGCAAGUGAAAGAUGAAGUACUGUUCAGCAACAGCAAACCAGGGGAUUUGUCUGACUUGAGAAUGGUGUAUGACGAUGAAGGCCUUAUGUGAUCUGUAUAAUAGUGAAUAAAUUCAAUCUUGUAAAAUUGCC